UAGGGAAUCUUCGGCAAUGGACGAAAGUCUGACCGAGCAACGCCGCGCGAGUGAAGAAGGUUUUCGGAUCGUAAAACUCUGUUGUUAGCGAAGAACAAGGACGUUAGUAACUGAACGUCCCCUGACGGUAUCUAACCAGAAAGCCACGGCUAACUACGUGCCAGCAGCCGCGGUAAUACGUAGGUGGCAAGCGUUGUCCGGAUUUAUUGGGCGUAAAGCGAGCGCAGGCGGUUUCUUAAGUCUGAUGUGAAAGCCCCCGGCUCAACCGGGGAGGGUCAUUGGAAACUGGGAGACUUGAGUGCAGAAGAGGAGAGUGGAAUUCCAUGUGUAGCGGUGAAAUGCGUAGAUAUAUGGAGGAACACCAGUGGCGAAGGCGGCUCUCUGGUCUGUAACUGACGCUGAGGCUCGAAAGCGUGGGGAGCAAACAGG
rnacentral:rRNA from 1 species